rnacentral:rRNA from 1 species
UACGAAGGGGGCUAGCGUUGUUCGGAUUUACUGGGCGUAAAGCGCACGUAGGCGGAUCUUUAAGUCAGAGGUGAAAUCCCAAGGCUCAACCUUGGAACUGCCUUCGAUACUGGGAGUCUUGAGUCCGGGAGAGGUGAGUGGAACUGCGAGUGUAGAGGUGAAAUUCGUAGAUAUUCGCAAGAACACCAGUGGCGAAGGCGGCCAACUGGACCAAUACUGACGCUGAGGCGCGAAAGCGUGGGGAGCAAACAGG